rnacentral:rRNA from 1 species
AGUUGAUCCUGGCUCAGGAUGAACGCUGGCGGUCUGCUUAACACAUGCAAGUCGAACGGAGUGCUUCGGCACUUAGUGGCGGACGGGUGAGUAACGCGUGAGAAUCUGCCCUUAGGAGGGGGAUAACGACUGGAAACGGUCGCUAAUACCCCAUAUGCCGAGAGGUGAAAAGUUUUAUCGCCUGAGGAUGAGCUCGCGUCUGAUUAGCUAGUUGGUAGGGUAAGAGCCUACCAAGGCGACGAUCAGUAGCUGGUCUGAGAGGAUGACCAGCCACACUGGGACUGAGACACGGCCCAGACUCCUACGGGAGGCAGCAGUGGGGAAUUUUCCGCAAUGGGCGAAAGCCUGACGGAGCAAGACCGCGUGCGGGAAGACGGCCUGUGGGUUGUAAACCGCUUUUGACAGGGAAGAAUAUGUGACGGUACCUGUCGAAUCAGCCUCGGCUAACUCCGUGCCAGCAGCCGCGGUAAUACGGAGGAGGCAAGCGUUAUCCGGAAUUAUUGGGCGUAAAGCGUCCGCAGGUGGUUUAUCAAGUCAGCUGUUAAAGCGUGGGGCUUAACUCCAUAAAGGCAGUUGAAACUGAUAGGCUAGAGUGCGAUAGGGGCAAGGGGAAUUCCCAGUGUAGCGGUGAAAUGCGUAGAUAUUGGGAAGAACACCGGUGGCGAAAGCGCCUUGCUGGGUCUGCACUGACACUGAGGGACGAAAGCUAGGGGAGCGAAAGGGAUUAGAUACCCCUGUAGUCCUAGCUGUAAACGAUGGGUACUAGGCGUUGUCCGUAUCGACCCGGGCAGUGCCGUAGCUAACGCGUUAAGUACCCCGCCUGGGGAGUACGCUCGCAAGAGUGAAACUCAAAGGAAUUGACGGGAGCCCGCACAAGCAGCGGAGUAUGUGGUUUAAUUCGAUGCAACGCGAAGAACCUUACCAGGGUUUGACAUGUCCGGAACCCUCUUGAAAGGGAGGGGUGCCUUCGGGAACCGGAACACAGGUGGUGCAUGGCUGUCGUCAGCUCGUGUCGUGAGAUGUUGGGUUAAGUCCCGCAACGAGCGCAACCCUCGUCCUUAGUUGCCAGCAUUGAGUUGGGCACUCUGGGGAGACUGCCGGUGACAAACCGGAGGAAGGUGGGGAUGACGUCAAGUCAGCAUGCCCCUUACGCUCUGGGCUACACACGUACUACAAUGCUUCGGACAAAGGGUUGCCAACUCGCGAGAGUGCGCUAAUCCCAUAAACCGAGGCUCAGUUCAGAUUGCAGGCUGCAACUCGCCUGCAUGAAGGCGGAAUCGCUAGUAAUCGCAGGUCAGCAUACUGCGGUGAAUACGUUCCCGGGCCUUGUACACACCGCCCGUCACACCAUGGGAGUUGGCCACGCCCGAAGUCGUUACUCCAACCUUUUCGGAGGAGGAGGAUGCCGAAGGCAGGGCUGAUGACUGGGGUGAAGUCGUAACAAGGUAGCCGUACCGGAAGGUGUGGCUGGAUCACCUCCUUUUUAGGGAGACCUCCCGACUCUAAGACCGAACCACACAGAACUAGGUUAAGAGUUGGUCAUCCCAAGGUCGUUCGAGGUAUGAGUGAAAGGCUUUCAAACUACUUUGGUUCGGGAUAUGGGCUAUUAGCUCAGGUGGUUAGAGCGCACCCCUGAUAAGGGUGAGGUCCCUGGUUCGAGUCCAGGAUGGCCCACCUUUGCGGUGAACAGUAAACCGUCACCAGUAGAAGCAAUUAGUUUACUUUGAUGACUGUUGGCAGAUAGCUGAUAACUGUUUUGGGGGUUUAGCUCAGUUGGUAGAGCGCCUGCUUUGCAAGCAGGGUGUCAGUAGUUCGAGUCUGCUAACCUCCACUGGGCGACAGCCCAAAGCGUAGGAUUUUACAUUCUAAAGGUACGGUUUUCCAAUAUGCGAUUGGGAUAGCUGGUUUGUUAGAGUAAGAUUCUGUGAGUGAAAGGGAAUCGAUUGCAGCAACGAUCUUGUUUAGGCAAGAGAGCCUGCUGGAAUUAUCCAGCCAGAACCUAGAAAACUGCAUAGCAAUAAUUGUCAGGUAGAGAUACAGACACCAAUGAAAACUUUGUGGUCAAGCUACAAAGGGCUAACGGUGGAUACCUAGGCACACAGAG